CCUACGGGUGGCAGCAGUGGGGAAUAUUGCACAAUGGAGGGAACUCUGAUGCAGCGACGCCGCGGGAGUGAAGAAGUAAUUCGUUAUGUAAAGCGCUAUCAGCAGGGAAGAAAGUGACGGUACCUGAAAAAGAAGCUCCGGCCAAAUACGUGCCAGCAGCCGCGGUAAUACGUCUGGAGCAAGCGCUAUGCGGAUUUACUGGGUGUAAAGGGAGAGUAGGUGGCAGAGCAAGACCGAAGUGAAAACCCAAAGCUCAACCAUGGGAAUGCUUUAGAAACUGGUCAGCUAGAGUGCAGUAGAGGCAAGUGGAAUUCUUAGUGUAGCGGUGAAAUGCGUAGAUAUUAGGAAGAACACCAGGGGCGAAGGCGGCUUGCUGGACUGUUACUGACACUGAGGCUCGAAAGCGUGGGGAGCAAACAGGAUUAGAUACCCGGGUAGUC
rnacentral:rRNA from 1 species